CCUGCCCUGCAUUCUGGGACAAGCCUUGGAAACGGGGUCUAAUACCGGAUACGACGCAUCUCCGCAUGGGGUGUGCGUGGAAAGCUCCGGCGAUGCAGGAUGGGCCCGCGGCCUAUCAGCUUGUUGGUGGGGUGAUGGCCUACCAAGGCGAUGAUGGGUAGCUGGUCUGAGAGGACGAUCAGCCACACUGGGACUGAGACACGGCCCAG
rnacentral:rRNA from 1 species